UAUGGCGGUCUCGUGAAACGAAGCUGUUAUCUCAUUUGUGCGUUGAGGCUUUUCUUGUUUCAUGAAUUUCGAGCGCGCUAACGUCGAGAGAGAGCUCACUUCAUCAAAACGCAUCGAAUCAUCCAGUCAUUGUUUCUCCGAGGUGGAACCGGCCAACGGGAUUGCGUUCGUAAGGUAGACACUGCCUGCUACUCCAUCUUUUCUCUAGCAAGUGCAGGUGGUAUUAGGUGACAUGGAAAAGGUCAUCGGUUUCAUGGGCUUCCUUCCAAGGCGAUGGAAAUCGAGAAAGCCUAUGCCAGUCAAAAUAAGUUUCUACCAUCAGCUGAGUGGCUUCCCAUUUGCCAGGAUGAUUAAGGAUCACGAGGAGUGGGUAGGAUUUGAUUUGGAGUCCCGAGACACCUUGGUGACAUUGGUCACAGAUUCAGACGUGACGUUGGAGGCUUGUUCGAAAAAUGGUGUAAAAGUAAGAAAGGUA